rnacentral:rRNA from 1 species
UACAGAGGGGGCGAGCGUUAUUCGGAAUUAUUGGGCGUAAAGGGCGCGUAGGCGGCCUUUCAAGUGACGGGUGAAAUCCCUCGGCUUAACCGAGGAACUGCCUGUCAGACUGGAAGGCUUGAGACCGGGAGAGGUGAGUGGAAUUCCCAGUGUAGCGGUGAAAUGCGUAGAUAUCUGGAGGAACACCGAUGGCGAAGGCAGUUCUCUGGGCCGUAACUGACGCUGAGGAGCGAAAGCGUGGGGAGCGAACAGG